UACAGAGGGUGCAAGCGUUAAUCGGAGUUACUGGGCGUAAAGGGCGCGUAGGUGGUAGAUUAAGUGAGAUGUGAAAUCCCUGGGCUUAACCUAGGACGGUCAUCUUAAACUGAUUUACUGGAGUACUGUAGAGGGUAGUGGAAUUUCCGGUGUAGCGGUGAAAUGCGUAGAGAUCGGAAGGAACACCAGUGGCGAAGGCGGCUACCUGGACAGAUACUGACACUGAGGCGCGAGAGCGUGGGGAGCAAACAGG
rnacentral:rRNA from 1 species